rnacentral:rRNA from 1 species
AAUUUGACCUGAACUCAGUUGAGAGCACCCGCUGAACUUAAGCAUAUCAGUAAGCGGAGGAAAAGAAACUAAACAGGAUUCCCCCAGUAACGGCGAGUGAACUGGGAAAUGUCCAUCGCUAAAUCAUUUUGCCUCAGGCAUUAUGAAGUGUAGCGUAUAAGCCGUAAUCUUUUAUCUUUUAUUUCAAACAAGUUCCCUUGACAGGGGUUCCACAGAAGGUGAAAGCCCUGUACAUUGAGAUAAUUGAUCGAUAUUUGCGUGCUUUAGAGUCGGGUUGUUUGGGAUCGCAGCCCAAAGUCGGUGGUAAACUUCAUCUAAGACUCAAUAUUGCCACGAGACCGAUAGCAAACAAAUACUGUGAAGGAAAGUUGCAAAGCACUUUGAAGAGAGAGUUAAAGAGGACGUGAAACCGGUGAGGUGGAAACGGAUAGAGUCGGCGUAUCUUUCAAGUAUUCAUUUACUUUAUUUUUAUGUUGUGAUCUCUGAGCUCCAGAUUGGGACAGAGGGAAGCAGCAUAAUUUUCUGUGAUGCAUUUACUUGUUUGGUGCUUGGGGAUGUUUGAGGCAGAUUUGUAUCCGCAGUUUUGAGGCCAGCUUGCUGGUACCCAAACGGUGUUAGCAUUUUUUGUCUUGGACAUUUGAGUAUGGCUUACGGUCAUUUAUCGGUUCGAUCUGGGUGUAAGUUACGGUCGCAUGCGACACGUGCUUUUCAAUUAGUUCGGUCCAGUUAAUGCUCUCGUACUCCUUCCCCAUGUAAAAGCCGGUCAUCUAUCCGACCCGUCUUGAAACACGGACCAAGGAGUUUAUCGUGUGCGCAAGUUUUGGGUGUUAAAAACCUAAAAGCGAAAUGAAAGUAAAUGGCUCUUUAGAGUCUGAUGUGCGAUCUUGUUAAAAAGUGCAGCAUGGCCCCAUUCUAACUGUUUACAGUAGGGUGGCGGAAGAGCGUACGCGGUGAGACCCGAAAGAUGGUGAACUAUUCCUGAGCAGGACGAAGCCAGAGGAAACUCUGGUGGAAGUCCGAAGCGGUUCUGACGUGCAAAUCGAUCGUCUGACUUGGGUAUAGGGGCGAAAGACUAAUCGAACCAUCUAGUAGCUGGUUCCCUCUGAAGUUUCCCCAGGAUAGCUGGAGCUCACGAGUAGUUAUACUCGGUAAAGCGAAUGAUUAGAGGACUUGGGAACGAAAUGUUCUUAACCUAUUCUCAAACUCUAAAUGGGUAUGAUAUCAAAGUUGCUUGAUUUUGAACUUUGGCGUUGAAUACGAGCUCCAAGUGGGCCAUUUUUGGUAAGCAGAACUGGCGAUGUGGGAUGAACCAAACGCGGAGUUGCGGUGCCAAAGUGCCCGCUCAUUAGACCCCAUAAAAGGUGUUGGUUGAUACAGACAGCAGGACGGUGGCCAUGGAAGUCGGAAUCCGCUAAGGAGUGUGUAACAACUCACCUGCCGAAUCAACUAGCCCUGAAAAUGGAUGGCGCUGGAGCGGGCCACCUAUACUCUGCCGUCAUAUGCUUGUAUUUUUAAGUCUUGCAAUGACGUGUAAGAGGGUCGUAGUGGUUGCGUUGAAGGCUUUGGGUGUGCACCCAGCUGGAGCUUCCACUAGUGCAGAUCUUGGUGGUAGUAGCAAAUAUUCAAGUGAGAUCCUUGAAGACUGAAGUGGAGAAGGGUUCCACGUGAACAGCAGUUGAAUGUGGGUCAGUCGAUCCUAAGGCACCGGCUAAAGCCGUCUAGACACUGCGGGGAGAUGAGAUACUUAACGGUAUUUUGUCCACCCGGUUGCCGAAAGGGAAGUGGGUUAAUAUUCCCACACCAGGCAUGGGAGAUGGUGAUCCGCAAGGAUUACUUUGCGCGGUGACGCAAACGAACUCGUAGACUCGUGUGGAGUCCGGGCCAGAGUUCUCUUUUCUGGUUUAGAGAUCAUGUCCCUGGAAGUGGCUCAGCCUGAGAUAGGGAUGCUGGUCUCGUAAAGCGCAGCGGUUCCUGUUGUGUCUCGUGUGCUCCACAUGAGCCGUGAAAAUGCGAGGGAGGCAAUUUAAAAUCUCCUGCCUGAUCGUACCCAUAUCCGCAGCAGGUCUCCAAGGUGAACAGCCUCUAGUCGAUAGAAUAAUGUAGGUAAGGGAAGUCGGCAAAUUAGAUUCGUAACUUCGGGAAAAGAAUUGGCUCUAAAGGUUGGGUCAGUCGGGCUGUUGUGUGAAACAGGUGGACUUUGCUCGUGGCUGCUUGCGCUUCCUUUAGGGCGGCGCUUGUGGACUAGUAGUCCACGUUGACUGGUAAAUGUCCGUAUUAAAAAAAUAACUGUAGAUAAUGGAAGUUAUUAAACACUUGGCACAUUUACAUGCUUAUUUGUCUUUACCUAAAAUUAAAGAAAAAUGGCAGAAAGAAUUUGUAACAAUAGAAGAGAUGUGGGGACAGAGUGUGGCUGAAGAAUUUGGUUCAGCAAUGAUUGAACAAAUUAUGGAACUUGAUGGUUUUUGAUUAAAUUAUAACUCGAAAUUAAAUUAAAGUAUUUUUAGACGAUAUUGUGGAACCAUUUAAAAAAAUUGGCAAUUUAGUUAUUAAGCCAGAAUUUGUUAAAUGGAUGAAAGAAAAAUGUGAAAAUGAUUAUGGUAUUUUUUAUUCUUAAAAUUGUGGAUAAAUAGGUACAACCCGAUUUAUUUCAAGAAUGGCCACCGUAGUCACUCUGUAUAGAAGAUUUCGCUGAACCCACACCUAAUUCUAUAGUAGAGCCGAGAAUAAAUUGAAAAUGAGUCAAAACAAUCAGAUUAUUGUUGUUAAUACGGCCGUACAUUAUUAACUGCUCACCCUCACAGUGCUUAAAGGAAGACGACUAUUUCUUCCAAUCAGGAUUUACUCUCGUAUUCUCUUGAAUAAGGAAUCCGAUAUUCGAACCGAAGAUUUCCGAAUAUCUAGUUGGCAAUUUAGUUAUUAAGUUUACUCUGUCUGAUCCACAGGCUGACCCUUUCCUUUGCUUAUCUUAUUCACUGGGUUAUAUAGACUUGGAUAGGCGGAGUUCAAUGGGCAAGUUAUAUUAUUAUUUCUUUAUCCUAUGACCGCCAUAAAACAUUAUUUAAAUUUUUUAUAAUUAAUUUUUGUAAAUAAAACAAAUAAAGAUUAUUUUCAAGGUGUUCCUGAAAUCCUUACACAUGGGAUUUGUGGAAUAAUAAUUUAUUAUGGUAUAACAACAAUCCAAACAGGCUUGCAG